GUGCUCACUUCGGCAGCACAUAUACUAAAAUUGGAACGAUACAGAGAAGAUUAGCAUGGCCCCUGUGCAAGGAUGAAAUACUCAUGUUUUGGCUAUAUGAGGUUAAA
ensembl:snRNA U6 U6 spliceosomal RNA